rnacentral:lncRNA from 1 species
AUUAAAAAUGUUUGUACCUAUGUAAUUGUACAUGUAAAGCUGGAAAUUCAGGCAUACCAUGGAAAAUUUGAAAAAAUUAAGCACCACAGACAUCAAACAACAGUGGGGAUAAUUU